GUACGGGUUGUGAGAGCAAGAGCCCGGAGAUGGAUUCUGAGACACGAAUCCAGGCCCUACGGGGUGCAGCAGGCGCGAAAACUUUACAAUGCUGGCAACAGCGAUAAGGGAACCUCGAGUGCCAGGUUACAAAUCUGGCUGUCGAGAUGCCUAAAAAGCAUUUCAUAGCAAGGGCCGGGCAAGACCGGUGCCAGCCGCCGCGGUAACACCGGCGGCUCGAGUGGUAACCGUUAUUAUUGGGUCUAAAGGGUCUGUAGCCGGCCGGAUAAGUCUCUUGAGAAAUCUGGCAGCUUAACUGUCAGGCUUUCAGGAGAUACUGUUCGGCUCGAGGCCGGGAGAGGUGAGAGGUACUUCAGGGGUAGGGGUGAAAUCUUGUAAUCCUUGAAGGACCACCAGUGGCGAAGGCGUCUCACCAGAACGGACCUGACGGCAAGGGACGAAAGCUAGGGGCACGAACCGGAUUAGAUACCCGGGUAGUCCUAGCCGUAAACGAUACUCGCUAGGUGUCGGCCACGGUGCGACCGUUGUCGGUGCCGUAGGGAAGCCG
rnacentral:rRNA from 1 species